rnacentral:rRNA from 1 species
CGACCUGAGCUCAGGCAAGAUUACGGACUGAACUUAAGCAUAUCAUUAAGUCCAGGAAAAGAAACUAACCAGGAUGCGCUUAGUAACGGCGAGCGAACCGCGCAAAGCCCAACUUGAAA